rnacentral:rRNA from 1 species
AAUCAACGCUGGCGGCGUGCCUCAGACAUGCAAGUCGAACGAUUAAACUUUCCUUCGGGGAAGAUAUAAAGCGGCGUACGGGUGAGUAACACGUAAGUAAUCUACCCUCGAGUGGGGAAUAACAAUCGGAAACGAUUGCUAAUACCGCAUAAUGCAGCGGCACCGUAAGGUGACAGUUGUUAAAGGAUUUAUUCGCUUGAGGAGGAGCUUGCGGCAGAUUAGCUAGUUGGUAAGGUAAUGGCUUACCAAGCGACGAUCUGUAGCCGGUCUAAGAGGACGGUCGGUCACACUGACACUGAAUAACGGGUCAGACUCCUACGGAGGCAGCAGUC